rnacentral:misc_RNA from 1 species
GAUGAAGAACGCAGCAAAAUGCGAUAAGUAAUGUGAAUUGCAGAAUUCAGUGAAUCAUCGAAUCUUUGAACGCACAUUGCGCCCGCCAGUAUUCUGGCGGGCAUGCCUGUUCGAGCAUCAUUUCAACCCUCAAGCCCUCGGGUUUGGUGUUGGGGAUCGGCGAGCCUUUCUGGCAAGCCGGCCCCGAAAUCUAGUGGCGGUCUCGCUGCAGCCUCCAUUGCGUAGUAGUAAAACCCUCGCAACUGGAACGCGGCGCGGCCAAGCCGUUAAACCCCCAACUUCUGAAUGUUGACCUCGGAUCAGGUAGGAAUACCCGCUGAACUUAAGCAUAUCAAUAAGCGGAGGA